rnacentral:rRNA from 1 species
AAAACGACUCUUGGAAAUGGAUAUCUCGGCUCUCGCAUCGAUGAAGAACGUAGUGAAAUGCGAUACUUGGUAUGAAUUGCAUAAUCUUGUGAACCAUUGAGUUUUUGAACACAAGUUACGCCCAAAGCCAUUAGGCUAAGGGCAUGUCUGCCUGGGCGUCAUGC